UGACUGCCGGCGCCUGUGUCCCUUCAAUCAAUGGCUGUUGUGCCUGACCGUUUUAUGAGUGCUUGCGUGCUGCUACCAGUUAUAUGGGAAGUUGCAUUCGCCACAUGUUGCUUUUGUCGUGCACGCCCUAGGGCGCUGCACGUCGACUUGAAAGCGUUCACGGCGUUGCCUCGUGUAGCUAGCCGCCUUGGCAGCUUUCACCAAGGACACCUUGUGGACGCUCUUGGUCUCGGAUGCGGCACACGGAAAAGGCCGGUGUUGCUUCGGCGCCCCGUGCCUAGCAAAGAUUGUCCAAUCGGAAAAAAACGACAGCCGGCCCGGCUGAUGCCUUGUGUAGAGGCUGGUGUCGGCUCGUCGAUGAGGACGUGCUACCUGGUUGAUCCUGCCAGUAG
rnacentral:misc_RNA from 1 species